rnacentral:rRNA from 1 species
AUUGAACGCUGGCGGCAUGCUUUACACAUGCAAGUCGAACGGUAACAGGCCUUCGGGUGCUGACGAGUGGCGGACGGGUGCGUAAUGCAUCGGAACGUGCCCAGAGGUGGGGGAUAACGCAGCGAAAGCUGUGCUAAUACCGCAUGUGAUCUGAGUAUGAAAGCGGGGGACCAGGCAGCAAUGUUUGGCCUCGCGCCUUUGGAGCGGCCGAUGUCAGAUUAGGUAGUUGGUGGGGUAAAGGCCUACCAAGCCGACGAUCUGUAGCUGGUCUGAGAGGACGACCAGCCACACUGGGACUGAGACACGGCCCAGACUCCUACGGGAGGCAGCAGUGGGGAAUUUUGGACAAUGGGCGCAAGCCUGAUCCAGCAAUGCCGCGUGCGGGAAGAAGGCCUUCGGGUUGUAAACCGCUUUUGUACGGAACGAAAAGGCUCUGGCUAAUACCUGGGGCUGAUGACGGUACCGUAAGAAUAAGCACCGGCUAACUACGUG